GAAGUGUUAUAGCCUCUGGUAGAUGUGACAACUGAGAUUGAGGAUUGCAACGAAUACCCUCUGGGCUACUUGUCUGGCCUCUGGUCGUCGCUUUGGUGCC
rnacentral:rRNA from 1 species